rnacentral:rRNA from 1 species
UACGUAGGGGGCUAGCGUUGUCCGGAUUUACUGGGCGUAAAGCGCGUGUAGGCGGCUUCUUAAGUCGGGUGUGAAAGCCCGGGGCUCAACCCCGGGAUGCCGCCCGAGACUGGGAGGCUUGAGGUCGGAAGAGGGGAGUGGAAUUCCAGGUGUAGCGGUGAAAUGCGUAGAGAUCUGGAGGAACACCCGUGGCGAAGGCGGCUCCCUGGUCCGGUUCUGACGCUGAGACGCGAAAGCGCGGGGAGCGAACGGG